rnacentral:lncRNA from 1 species
AAUGGUGAGAGAAACCAUGAAGAAGAUGAAAGGGGACAUAGCGAUGGGGGCAACAGUACUGAUAGCACAAGUGGCAACGGGAAACCACGAGAUGCGAAGCGGGGAUUAGACAACCCAAGGGACAAGAGGAAGAAGAUGAAAUGCUUCCUUUGUCAAGGACCACACAUGGCGCGUAAAUGUCCAAAUAAAGUGAUGGUUUCGGCAAAGAAGGAUGAGCCGAAGGAGGAGGCGAAGCCUA